AGAAGUCGUAACAGGUUUCCGUAGGUGAACCUGCGGAAGGAUCAUUAAAAAUGAGACCUGAUUCAAGGUCUAUUAAUAAUCCUACCUUUGUGAAUUUGUUUGUUUAAUAUGUGUCUUUCCCUGGUUUUGAUGGAGCUUGUUUAAAGCAAAAUCAAUCCAGGGAAUGGCAAAACUUUUUUUAAAUUAAACUUUUUGUAUUCAUUUGUCUAAAAUUAUUUUUAUAAUAUAAAACAACUUUGACAAUGGAUCUCUUGGUUCUCGCAACGAUGAAGAACGCAGCAAAAUGCGAUAAGUAGUGUGAAUUGCAGAAUACGUGAAUCAUCGAAUCUUCGAACGCAUAUUGCACUUUUUGGUUUACCAAAAAGUAUGUCUGUUUGAGUAUCAGUAAAAUAUUCUCAUAAAAACUAUUGUUUUAUGGUUAUGAGUGUUUACAACGAUAAACAAGUUGUUUCACUUUAAAUUCUUUGUCUUUAAAAAAUCAUUAAAAACUGGUUUUUUUUUAAAAUUGGAUAAAUUUCCCGUAAAAAGGAAUAACCUUAAACAAUUUUAAUUAAUUGUUUGAUUUUUAAGAUCUUAAAGGAAAAAAGUAAAAAUUAACUUGAUCUCAAUCAGAUAAGAGUACCCGCUGACUUAAGCAUAUCAAUAAGCGGAGGAAAAGAAACUAACUAGGAUUCCCUCAGUAACGGCGAGUGAAGCGGAAGAGCUCAAAUUUGAAAUCUUCAAGUUCUACCUUGACGAAUUGUAGUUUAAAGAAGUGUUUUCUGUUGGAGUUUUGGUAAAAGUUCUUUGGAAUAGGACAUCAUAGAGGGUGAGAAUCCGUAUUUGACCAUUAUUUCCAACUUUGUGAUACACUUUCAAAGAGUCGGAUUGUUUGGGAAUGCAGUCCAAAUGGUGGUAAUUCAUCUAAAGCUAAAUACUGGCGAGAGACGAUAGCGAACAAGUACCGUGAGGAAGAUGAAAGAACUUUGAAAAGAGAGUUAAACAGUACGUGAAAUUGUCAAAAGGGAAGCGUUUGACACCAGUGUUGUUUCUCGAAAAUCAAUUAAAAUGAUGGGAUUUGUGUUGUAUUGACUUUAUCAGCUUUCUGCACUUUUUUCUUCUUUUUAAUGCACUUUUCGUUUAACAAGUCAACAUCAAUUCUUUUGUUGUAAAAGAGUCAUUGGAAGUGGCUUUCUUUCGGAGAAAGUGUUAUAGCCUUUGCUUCUGCAAUCGGAGAGAUUGAGGUCUGCAGCGUAGAUCUUCGGGUUAGAUGCAUUUGUGCUAAGUAUAGCCUUCAUAGACAACUUGUUGACUAUGAUCAGUCAUGUAGCUUACUCGCUUAUGUCAUUUUACUACGCUUAGAUGUUGA
rnacentral:misc_RNA from 1 species